rnacentral:rRNA from 1 species
AUUGAACGCUGGCGGCAUGCCUUACACAUGCAAGUCGAACGGUAACAGGUCUUCGGAUGCUGACGAGUGGCGAACGGGUGAGUAAUACAUCGGAACGUGCCUAGUAGUGGGGGAUAACUACUCGAAAGAGUGGCUAAUACCGCAUGAGAUCUACGGAUGAAAGCAGGGGAUCGCAAGACCUUGUGCUACUAGAGCGGCCGAUGGCAGAUUAGGUAGUUGGUGGGAUAAAAGCUUACCAAGCCGACGAUCUGUAGCUGGUCUGAGAGGACGAUCAGCCAAACUGGGAAUGAGCCACGGCCCGGACUCCUACGGGAGGCAGCAGUGGGGAAUUUUGGACAAUGGGCGCAAGCCUGAUCCAGCAAUGCCGCGUGCAGGAUGAAGGCCUUCGGGUUGUAAACUGCUUUUGUACGGAACGAAAAGCCCUGGGUUAAUACCCUGGGGUCAUGACGGUACCGUAAGAAUAAGCACCGGCUAACUACGUGCCAGCAGCCGCCGUAAUAC